UGCAGACAAAACCUCGAUGGGGCACACUAG
rnacentral:piRNA from 1 species